UUCAAACCAGAGGAGAAAGGAAAACCCCCUUUCCACCGUCAAGCCGCACCACCUCCAUCCUCCGCCUGCGCCACCGCCAGACCUCACCCGAGCUCCAGACGUCACCCGAGCUCUUGUGCAACCUGCUCGUGCCGCCGCUCUCUUCCACGACCACCUUCGCCGACGUCCCAGUCGACGCCGCCGCCGCCCGCCGCGCUCCGCCUCAUCUUCUGCACCACCGCCGCCAUCUGUCGCCAAAAGUCCGCAGCCGCCACCAGCCGGAGCUCGUGACCGGUUGCCGUCCGCGCCUGUGACCGCCUGCCCGAGGUCGGCCGCCCCCGUCGCCGCAGAGCCGCGGCCGAGAUCUCCGCUCCGCCCGCAAGCGCCGCCGCGAAGAGCGGCACGCCCUCCUGAAUCCGUCGGGAGGUUGAAGAAGAC
rnacentral:lncRNA from 1 species